rnacentral:rRNA from 1 species
UGGGGAAUAUUGCACAAUGGGGGGAACCCUGAUGCAGCCAUGCCGCGUGAAUGAAGAAGGCCUUCGGGUUGUAAAGUUCUUUCGGUGAUGAGGAAGGUGUUUGUUUUAAUAGAGCAAGCAAUUGACGUUAGUCACAGAAGAAGCACCGGCUAACUCCGUGCCAGCAGCCGCGGUAAUACGGAGGGUGCGAGCGUUAAUCGGAAUGACUGGGCGUAAAGGGCACGCAGGCGGUGACUUAAGUGAGAUGUGAAAGCCCCGAGCUUAACUUGGGAAUUGCAUUUCAUACUGGGUCGCUAGAGUACUUUAGGGAGGGGUAGAAUUCCACGUGUAGCGGUGAAAUGCGUAGAGAUGUGGAGGAAUACCGAAGGCGAAGGCAGCCCCUUGGGAAUGUACUGACGCUCAUGUGCGAAAGCGUGGGGAGCAAACAGG